CAAUAGCGUAUAUUAAAGUUGUUGCAGUUAAAAAGCUCGUAGUUGGAUUUCUGGUGGGAGCGAUCGGUCUGGCGCUUAGCGCGAGUACUUGCAUCGUCUCCGGCCAUCCUUGGGGAGAGUCUGUCUGGCAUUAGGUUGUCGGGCAGAGGAUCCUCAUCGUUUACUGUGAAAAAAUUAGAGUGUUCAAAGCAGGCUUAUGCCGUUGAAUAUAUUAGCAUGGAAUAAUAAGAUAGGACUUUGGUACUAUUUUGUUGGUUUGCGCACCAAAGUAAUGAUUAAUAGGGACAGUUGGGGGUACCUGUAUUGCGUUGUCAGAGGUGAAAUUCUUGGAUUUACGCAAGACAAACAGCUGCGAAAGCGUCUGCCAAGGAUGUUUUCAUUAA
rnacentral:rRNA from 1 species